UCAAACAGACAACUGUGUAUGGUGUCAAGGAAGCUGAGUGAAAAACGAUGAUUGUGACCAAGUCUGGUGACUCGAGAGGGUGAAAACCGGUGCAGACAUCUUGUUCUCCUCCAUUCAAACACAAAGAUGCCAGUAAAGGUUGCUGAUAUCCUCGUUUAAGCUUCUCAGCUGGACUCUCUUAAUGGUGUCCGAAGCUAGGAAUCUGGGCUACAGACCAGGAAUUUACUGUAGAUUUGGAGGAC